rnacentral:rRNA from 1 species
UACGGAGGAUGCAAGCGUUAUCCGGAAUGAUUGGGCGUAAAGCGUCCGCAGGUGGCGAUGUAAGUCUGCUGUUAAAGAGUCUAGCUCAACUAGAUAAGAGCAGUGGAAACUACAUAGCUAGAGUACGUUCGGGGCAGAGGGAAUUCCUGGUGUAGCGGUGAAAUGCGUAGAGAUCAGGAAGAGCACCAGUGGCGAAGGCGCUCUGCUAGGCCGUAACUGACACUGAGGGACGAAAGCUAGGGGAGCGAAUGGG